GAAUUGCACCCGAUACUGGCCGACUGGAGUGCGAGAGAGGGAGGUAGAAUUCCACGUGUAGCGGUGAAAUGCGUAGAUAUGUGGAGGAAUACCGGUGGCGAAGGCGGCCUCCUGGCUCGACACUGACGCUGAGGUGCGAAAGCGUGGGUAGCAAACAGGAUUAGAUACCCUGGUAGUCCACGCCGUAAACGAUGUCUACUAGCCGUUGGGGAACUUGAUUCUUUGGUGGCGCAGUUAACGCGAUAAGUAGACCGCCUGGGGAGUACGGCCGCAAGGUUAAAACUCAAAUGAAUUGACGGGGGCCCGCACAAGCGGUGGAGCAUGUGGUUUAAUUCGAUGCAACGCGAAGAACCUUACCAGGUCUUGACAUCCUCGGAACUUGGCAGAGAUGC
rnacentral:rRNA from 1 species